rnacentral:rRNA from 1 species
UACGGAGGGUGCGAGCGUUGUCCGGAAUCACUGGGCGUAAAGGGCGCGUAGGCGGCGCGGAUAGUCGGCGGUGAAAGCCCGGAGCUCAACUCCGGGUCGGCCGUCGAUACUUCCGGGCUUGAGCACUGUAGAGGCAGAUGGAAUUCCGGGUGUAGCGGUGGAAUGCGUAGAGAUCCGGAAGAACACCGGUGGCGAAGGCGGUCUGCUGGGCGAGUUGCUGACGCUGAUGCGCGACAGCGGUGGGGAGCAAACGAGGAUUAGAGUACCCCGGUAGAUCCACCGGACAAGUCCUCGUGCCAUACCGUUAAUC